ensembl:misc_RNA Metazoa_SRP Metazoan signal recognition particle RNA
GCUGGGUGUGGUGGUGCAUACCUGUAAUCCUAGCUACUCGGGAGGCUGAGGUGGGAGGAUCACUUGAGUCCAGGAGUUCAAGGCUUCAGUGAGCUAUGAUCAUGCCACUGCACUCCAGCCUGGGCAACAGAAUGAGACCCUGUCUCAA